GGAUGGGAUGGAGACAACUCUGAACCAGCCAUGCCGCGUGAAGGAUGAAGGCCCUAUGGGUUGUAAACUUCUUUUAUACGGGAAGAAACCUUCGAACGUGUUCGAAGCUGACGGUACUGUAAGAAUAAGGAUCGGCUAACUCCGUGCCAGCAGCCGCGGUAAUACGGAGGAUCCAAGCGUUAUCCGGAUUUAUCGGGUUUAAAGGGUGCGUAGGCGGAAUAGUAAGUCAGUGGUGAAAGCCUGUCGCUUA
rnacentral:rRNA from 1 species